rnacentral:rRNA from 1 species
GACGUAGGUGGCAAGCGUUGUUCGGAAUCACUGGGCAUAAAGCGCACGUAGGCGGCUGAGUAAGUCGGAUGUGAAAUACCUCGGCUCAACCGAGGAACUGCGUCCGAUACUGCUCGGCUUGAGGUCCGGAGGGGAGAGUGGAGUUCCCGGUGGAGCAGUGAAAUGCGUAGAGAUCGGGAAGAACGCCGGCGGCGAAAGCGACUCUCUGGUCGGAAUCUGACGCUGAGGUGCGAAAGCUAGGGGAGCAAACGGG